rnacentral:rRNA from 1 species
UGGGUAACCUGCCUCAAAGAGGGGAAUAGCCUCCCGAAAGGGAGAUUAAUACCGCAUAAUAUGUUUAAGUCGCAUGACUUUAACAUCAAAGGAUUUUUCUUUUAGAAAUUCCACUUUGAGAUGGACCCGCGGCGCAUUAGCUAGUUGGUGAGGUAACGGCUCACCAAGGCAACGAUGCGUAGCCGACCUGAGAGGGUGAUCGGCCACAUUGGAACUGAGACACGGUCCAGCUCCGUAGGGAGG